rnacentral:rRNA from 1 species
UACAGAGGUCUCAAGCGUUGUUCGGAUUCAUUGGGCGUAAAGGGUGUGUAGGUGGCGCGCUAAGUCGGGUGUGAAAUUCGGAGCUUAACUCCGAAACUGCAUUCGAUACUGGCGUGCUUGAGGACUGGAGAGGAGACUGGAAUUCAUGGUGUAGCAGUGAAAUGCGCAGAUAUCAGGAGGAACACCGGUGGCGAAGGCGGGUCUCUGGGCCGAAAUUGACGCUGAGGAGCGAAAGCUGGGGAGCAAACAGG